GGAAGGAUCAUUAACACUUAUUAAUCCUUCUUAAUGCCUUUGUUGAACCUGUGAUUCGUCUGUCUUUCUUUUUCCAAAACCUUCUAUAUUUAAAACUUUUUUCGAAACGUUUGCUUUUUGCAAAUGUUUUCCCAAAAAAACAAAAAACAACUGCUAGCAUUGGAUGUCUUGGUUCUCGCAACGAUGAAGAACGCAGCGAAAUGCGAUAAGUAAUGUGAAUCGUAGAAUUCAGUGAAUCAUCAAAUCUUUGAACGCAUAUGGCGCUUCUGGGUACUCCCAGGAGCAUACCUGUUUGAGAAUCAUCAUUCCAUCUCAUCCCUAAUUCAUUUUAGGAAUGGCCAAUGAGCGCGUCAUUUAUUUUCAUAUAAAUGUCGCUCAAAGUAAAUCUAACGGUGCCAUUAGAACUUAAUUCUAACUGCAGCUUAAAUAAGAAUGGCUUGCUAAGGUUGAGUUUUCUCAGCCCCUUGCUAUUCACUAUUUCAGCUGCAUGGAAUUUAACGUUAUUUUGGGCUUACUGCUUAGUCUCCAAACAAAACAAAUCAAACCAUGAUCUCAAAUCAGGCAAGACUACCCGCUGAAUUUAAGCAUAUCAUUAAGCGGAGGAAAAGAAACUAACAAGGAUUCCCCUAGUAACGGCGAGUGAAGCGGGAAAAGCUCAAUCUUAAAAUCGAAGGGUUACGCUCUUCGAGUUGUAGAGUAUAGAGGCGUCUUCGGGGAGUGCGCAGGUAUAAGUCCCUUGGAAAAGGGCGUCAUAGAGGGUGACAACCCCGUUCAUGACUUGCGCAUUUUCUUCAUAUGGGGCGCUUUCGAAGAGUCGAGUUGUUUGGGAAUGCAGCUCUAAACGGGUGGUAAAUUUCAUCUAAAGCUAAAUAUUGGCGAGAGACCGAUAGCGAACAAGUACCGUGAGGGAAAGAUGAAAAGAACUUUGAAAAGAGAGUUAAAAGGGCCUGAAAUUGUUAGCAGGGAAGCGAUUAAAACUGGGCAUACGCCUUGGGAUUCGGUUUGGUUUCUGGUGGUUCCAGUGUGCUUAGCGAUCGCAAGACCUGAGCAUGUUGUGAUUCAUCAGUGCCUUUCUUAUUUUCUCAGGGUGUGGGUCAGCAUCAGUUAGGGUUUCAGGAAAUGGCCUUUGGGAAGGUAGGCAGGCCUUUCGGGGUUUGCUGUUAUAGCCUAAGGGUAGCCCUGUUACCUUGACUGAGGGAAAUCAGCUCGCGCUCUGCUUGAGGUCUAUUCUAUGGGCUGAGGUACCACUUAGGACAGCCUCGCUGUGCUUUGGGUGCUUUGGUCCAGCUGGGUAGCGCCUUUCAUACGCGUGCUCCUGAUGCUGACAUAACGGUUUUAACCGACCCGUCUUGAAACACGGACCAAGGAGUCUAACAUAUAUGCGAGUAUUUGGGUGUCAAACCCAAGUGCGGAAUGAAAGUAAAGGCGCCCUCUGGGUGCUUAGGUGCGAGCUGUUGGGCGUACCAUCAGUGCAGCAUCGACCGGUCUGGAGGUUUUCUGAAAGAUCUGAGUAAGAGCAUAUCUGUUGGGACCCGAAAGAUGGUGAACUAUGCCUGAACAGGAUGAAGCCAGAGGAAACUCUGGUGGAAGUCCGUAGCGGUUCUGACGUGCAAAUCGAUCGUCAAAUUUGGGUAUAGGGGCGAAAGACUAAUCGAACCAUCUAGUAGCUGGUUCCCUC
rnacentral:misc_RNA from 1 species